rnacentral:rRNA from 1 species
UACGUAGGGGGCAAGCGUUGUCCGGAAUCAUUGGGCGUAAAGCGCGUGUAGGCGGUUCGGUAAGUCUGCUGUGAAAGUCCAGGGCUCAACCCUGGGAUGCCGGUGGAUACUGUCGGACUAGAGUACGGAAGAGGCGGGUGGAAUUCCCGGUGUAGCGGUGAAAUGCGUAGAUAUCGGUAGGAACACCAGUGGCGAAGGCGGUCUCCUGGGGCAUUCUUGACGCUGAGGCGCGAAAGCUGGGGGAGCAAACGGG